rnacentral:rRNA from 1 species
GGACUACGUGGGUAUCUAAUCCGGUUUGCUCCCCCAGCUUUCGUCCCUCACUGUCGGAGUCGUUCUGGUGAGACGCCUUCGCCACAGGUGGUCCCCUGAGGAUUACAGGAUUUCACUCCUACCCCCAGAGUACCUCUCACCUCUCCCGAUCCCUAGGUCGCCAGUUCCCCUGAGACGCCUUCCGGUUGAGCCGGAAGAUUUCCCCAGAGGCUUAACGACCAAGCUACGGACGCUUUAAGCCCAGUAAUAGUGGCCACCACUCGAGCCGCCGGUAUUACCGCGGCGGCUGGCACCGGUCUUGCCCGGCCCUUUCUCCAGGUGGUUUUUAAGCACCUGAACAGCCCGUCCAUACGGGCACUCGGGGUUCCCUUAUCACAGUUGCCUGCAUUGUAAAGUUUUCGCGCCUGCUGCCCCCCAUAGG